CGUGGCUAACGCUAGCAAACAUAACUUUGUUAACCCAACAUUUUGAUAGCUGUGGUGAUUUUCGGUGUUGAGGCGUAACGGCACUCUUGUUGCUUUUAAAAAAAAAAUAUAUAUAUAUAUAUAAUUGAGUGAAAUGAGGUGAUUGGAACUUGAAGUUGGAGUGGCCUAGGUCACUUAAGCCAACGUUAGCUCGUGUGGUACCUGCGCUAAUAUUAGCUAGCUAGCUAAGCAACUUGGCUGUAGCCAACAACGGGUAUCUGUUUUGACUUGAUGACAAUGGAGAAGCUGUGUGACUGGUUAGCCAGGCUGCCAGAUAUCUCGUUGGUUUAAAAUGGCGGAGGCCACUCGCUCGUUAUUCGGGUUUGCUAGCUAGUUAAAAAGCUGGUGGAUACUUUUUUCUCAUGGCUAGCCAACGUCAGAUGAGUUGCUCGAUAACGUUAUCAUAAUUGUCUCGACUGGUGGAAAGCACGUCCAGGUACGCUGCUCACAUUAACUCACUAUGCGCACACUGUGUGCUCAAUACCGGUGCAGGCUUGCUAGCUAGGUAGCUAAACAGCUAAAGUUAGCUGACUAGCAGUCAGUAGCAGUCGUUGAGGCUUAUCAGUAAACUUUUAACCAUCUGGGUAACUUGGCUAUCUAGCUAUCAACAAGCUAGCAGAGUGCUCCUUUCAACGGGACGGUUCGCUGUCAAGCUAGGCGCAGCUGUCUUAAGUCCGUGUUGCGUUGCUGUUUUUAGAGCAGUCUGGCCAGAUACGUUUAAAGAAGAGAAAUUUAGAGCAGUUUUCUGGCGCACAUUGCUGGCAUAUAUUGGCACUGACUUGGCUAUCGUCCCUGUGCUGUCGCUCUGUCCCUGCGUGCUGAUGUUGUCAAUGAGUUGCUCGCCCAAGCUAGUUUUGUAUGAGACACGAUAGUUUAAAAAUAUGAUCUAUGAAGUAUAUUUUUAGUUUUCGCGCUUUCCUGGAGUGUAUUGUAUAACCGCAACUCCAUGACAACUAUCGUGGCUAUUUAAUGUCAUAAGAAUACAUAUCCCGCAUAUGACAACAUCAAAUCAUGUCACAGGGCGAAAAUCCUUAACCUUUACCAAAGCCCCAGUCUGCCAGUUGUCAGAAGUUGGCACGGGCCAGGAACGCGUCUUUGGCGCCCGUUUCGUGUGUUAUGUCCUCUGCAUUUAAAGUAGUUUAUAGUUGGCAAUGUGUAGUGUAAUGGGUAAGGAACUAGUCUUGUAACCUAAAAAGGUCACAGGUUCGAUUCUUGGAUAGGACACUGCCUAUAUACCCAGCUGUAUAAAUGGAUGCAAACCUAAAAAAAUUGUGUAAGUCGCUCUGGAUAAGAGCGUCUGCUAAAUGCCACUAAUGUAAUGCAUGGAGUUAGUAAAUCGGCUGCGAAUGUACGGCAAACGUUACUGCGCCAAGGCAAAACUUUGGAGUCUUAUUGGACCGAAGGCAGUGUUAUUAUGGUGUAAUGUAGGGAGUUAAACGUAUAGCUCUGACGUUUACUCUUCGUGUGCACUGUAGCAUGUAAACCUUGCUUGGAGAUGGAGAACGCUCGUUGGCCUUUGCUGCUGAACCUCCUCUGUGGGCGCUGGAAUGAAUGUUAUCUAUGGACUCAACGGGCUGCCCCCUUGAUGGAAAAACUCGCGUUCAAGAGGUCAACCCGCGCGCGCUCAGUCGCAAUACCUUGGCAAUCACUGCGUAAAAAAAAAAACAAUGUGCAACUGUUUAUCCGCCAAAAAAAACGGACAUGCCGUUCCGCAGUAACUUAGUGUCCAACUCAAAGAACAACAGCUUGUUCCAAGUUGUUGCGUAUUGAUUAAAUAAUAAAUAAAUAAAUAAAUAAAUAAAUAGAAAUCAAUCCGCCCUGGGUUCGGGCACCCUGUGGAUAAAAAAAGACCCACCCUCGCCCGGCCCCUGGUGAAAAAGCGGCUUCAUUGAAUUUCACACCCUAAAUCAAUAUUUUUUCAGUAAAAAGAACCUGUUAGUCUUUACAGUAGUCGGUGAAUAGCUGAUAACUGCUUUCCUACUUCAGUGCAGAGGGACUGUGUUUGACACCACAUGUUUGUUUUUUUUUUUAAAUUAUUUUUUAUACUACAAAACACACCAUAAUAAUUAUUUUUGCUGUAAUAGAUGUGUUGCGCCUAACCCUGGUUUUGACUUAGCUUUUCCCAAUAGUAGGGUCACUCCAGGAAAAGUCACCAAAUGUAUUGCUGACGACAACACGUAAGAAUAUGAGGUGUGACUGGAAUUUGGGCUGGGAUUUAAAAAAAAAAAAAGAAAAAAAAAAGCGAAAUGGGUCUUGUCCCUCAAAGAUUGCAGUGCACCUAAUACCAUCGUAUUUAAUUUAUUGAUUUUGUUCUGUUUAUAUUUUGUAAUAGAUAAAAAUUGAAUCUGUCCUUUGCUCCCUCUUGCAUGAAGUAGCCUACUUGUUUUUGUUUACAGGUUUCCCUUUGACCUGCUUAAAAUGACACGGUCUGUGUUUUAAACAAGCAACCGAAUGUCCCCGCCGUUUGGAGUUUGCCCGUAAUGUUCGCGCGCGGUUUAUUAACCUGCCUUUUGGAAAGCUGCCCCGAUGUUUUCAGCAGGCACGCGGGGCCAUGUGCCGUUUAAACCGCCAUCGCUGCACAGCAGCAACGCGAGACACCGUUAAAUAUGUAAUCUAAGCAUUUUGGAGGCCCUUUUGUCAAUUAUUCUAAAGCUGUUGGUAAAGGAAGCUCGAGGAGAUGUUCUAUUUUAUCUUGGGGGGAAACGCGGGCAUGCACACACAUGCAUAUGCCGUGGAGUGAAAGAAAAAUAUAUGUAGGCAUGUUCUUAUUUAAAGGUCAAAUUAAAUUGCACGUGUAUUGUGUGUGAGAGUCACUACCUGCUUUUUGGAAGCACAAAUGCUUUUAACCCUAUACCCAACAGGUUCUAAAAUAAAAAAUAAAAAAUGGGGACUCAAAUGAGAAAUGUAAUGCCUUUUUGGGGCCCCGUCAAAUGCACCUUCUAGCACAGCCUGGCGGAUUACAGAAUCGUUCUGGGACCCACCUCAUUUUGGUCUCGCUACCCACAAUGUACCCGACACAGUGAAAUUAUGCCCAAGUUCAGACUCCGAAUUCAUCAGUCCAACCUUCAACCCAGGCGCAAUUGCCUACCGUUGCUGUGCACCUUCAGUUUAAUUCAUCCCCUUUCAAAACUGAAACACUGUUUGGGUCGCUGAUUCGAAGCUGCAUGCUAUUCAGAGCUCCAGUUUGUAAGCUGCUGUGUGAAAUGGCCAUUUUGAUGCUCAUAUUUAGACAUCAGUUCAAUUAAGGAUCCAGAUGUUUUAAUUGAGCAUUUAGGACCGAAAUUCAUGUGUCAAACGUCAACCCAGAGAAUAUGGACAUCGCUCUAAUAGAUGUGGUUUCUAAAAUGGUAUAUUUUUUGCAGAUUUAAAUGCAUUAAUCAGAACUAAAAAAUGUUUUUAAAAAAAGUGUUUGUGUGCCACACCCAUAGAGAGGAGGGGAGUUAAUAGUUGUGAAAGCAGUUUGAAUUUGAAAAGUGGGUUUUGGAAAUUUUUCAAGGGAUGGGGGGGUGGUGUAGGGGGUGGAAUGUUUCCAAAUUUAUGCAGGUGGAAUUUGGAAUUGAUAAGCCUUGAUUUAUACACACCAGCACAAUAAGCAUUGGCAAGUUCCUUUUUUAGGAGGGUGUGUUUUCACAACGCUCAUCGACUGUGCAGGCUAACUGUUCACAGCGUAGAACGUUAUUUCCCCUCUUCCUAGCGUGCUGAAAGUCAUUUACAACGUUUGUUCUGACUUUUUGUUGUGGGAGAAGGCUUUGUGAUUCCUUGCUUCCAUCGGGGUCCGUUUGUGUUGGGCCAGACACACCUGUGUCCCUUAAGGCACUCUCCUUUUAAGGUCUGUGCCUUUUAAGUCUCUGAUGGGAAAUCGGUUUGUGUCUUUCCUUCCCUUUAAUAAGACGCUUCUCACGCUUUGUUCUGUAGGAUGCAGUCUUGCGUUUACGUGACGCUCUGCUUCAGCGGGUUCUGGCGUACUGCCUCGGAUGAGCGUUCUUCUGAGGAAACGUCGCGGCGUUUCUCGUUUCUGAUUUCCCUUUUUCUUGUUUUCUUUCCGUCUCUGUUCUGCUUUUUUUCGCAGAGUUUUGAAUUGAAUUGAAGUUGAAGUGUUAGGAAUGUGUUUUUUUUCCCCCCCUGAAUUUACAGCUGAAGGCUUAGCGCUUCUACAGCGUGUUUUAGGCUAAUUGUUAGCCUUAUUCUUAAAUGGUAGCCUAUAUGAAGUGCAAAGCCUUUAUAUUCCUUGAUAAUUUUUUUUUAUAUUGCCAAAUUUGACAAUCUUUUUUCUUUUUUUCCCCCUCGUCUGGUUUUCCUGCUUUCCCACCGUCCCGUUAGUCCUGUAAAUGACCCUUCCGUGACCCCGUAGUCAGAGUCCGUCCCGUCG